rnacentral:lncRNA from 10 species
GAAAACACUUAGCUCUAUCACUGAGGUCAUGAGGUACAUCUUCUAUUUUCCAUUUACAUUAGGUGACAGUGUUGAUACACCUGUCACUACAUAAAAAAGUCUCAUUUUCUCCAUGUUUCAAUAAUGCUUUCCUUGUGUUCCUUCAAGCUCUCACCAGCAACCUCCUUGAUGACUUUUAGACUCUGCUAAUACCAUCCCCAAAGCCCACUGGGUUUUACUGAUAUUUUACUCAAGGGCCUUUCAGAUUCUGCUCAUCAUCCAGUGCCAAGGCCAGUGAUGCAUGGAUUCAGGAGAGGUCUGACUGAGCCGUUCUGGGUCAGAAUUUCUCAUGGAGCCAGAAAGGCAUGGAACGGGAGCAUAUGGGGCUGAACAAGCAUCUCUUUAUGUAAUCUCAGAGCCUCUCUAUGUGGUUUCUCUAUAUGGAUUAUUUGAGAUUUCCUCCUAGUACUGCAGCUUCAAGGACUGCUUACAUGGCAAAUGAAGGAUCUCUGCAAUCAAGGCAGAAGCCGCAUGGCUUUUUAUAUCCUGCGAAGUUACAUGAUCACUUCCUCCACAUUCUUUUGGCUACAAGUGACUCACAAGCCAACAAAACUCAAAGGAUGGGGCAAGACUAUAAGUGGGAGGAGUGGCAAGAUCACACUGUAGAAGAGGAGAUGAGAUGGAAGCUACUGUCAUAGCCCACUUCAGAAAAUAAAAUCUGCCACAUAUGUAAAACAUGGUUGAUUAUUGUAAUUUCCUAUGGUUCAACCUCAUAUACAAAUGUAUGGCGAAAGAGACCUGGAUUUCAUUUACUCAGA